rnacentral:lncRNA from 12 species
GGCCUUUCCCAGGCCUGGGGCGCUAGGUGCUGCCAGGGGAAAGGAGCACCGAGCACAAUGUUCUCCUUGUCGGCAAACCUCCCUUUUGUUUCAGCAGCACUUGGGAUCCCACACAUGCAAAAGUUUGAAUUUCCUGUUGGCUCUGAGAAUGGUAGCUUGUCCACAAUGGUCUUAUCCCUUGGCCUCACCAGACCCUUCCAGGGUGGAAUGGACAAGAGUGGAAGAAAGCACAGGGAACAGUGUUCGGGGCCACGCAGAUGGACAGAGGUCCCCAAGAGUGGCAGCCACUGAGGCGGCUCUGUAAUUUGAUGAAAAUUUGGAAAGAGAAAUGUCUGAGGACCCAUUUUGUUCUUUCA